CAAAUAUAUGUGUUUAUAUUAUGGUUUUUUUUCCAGACUCUACUUAUGUUCCAACAUCUUGGUGGGUUUCACUGAUCCUGUUUAGGUCUUAAAUAGAACUGGGAAAGAAGAAGGAACCAUGUGCUAGUCAUUCUGCCUCUUAUGCUACCUCCCUUGUCACAGUUUUUCAUCACCACAGUCCUCUGAACAGGUUGUAUCCUUCCCACUCAUAGAUGUGAAAAUCAGGCUCAGCGAGAUGACGUCCUUGCCAAAGGUCACAGUAUUAGUAACUUUGGCAAAAUUGGUGUCAGAAGCUCAAUCUUCUAGUUUAGUAACUCAUUCCACACCAUGGAUUGUACUUCUUAAACUAUAUAACAACAUGCACUUGGAGAGUUAUAAUUCUUACCUUCUAAUGUAGAAUUUUUGCUAGGAUCCUUUUACUGUAUUAGAAGAGCAUUACAGUUUAUUUCAAACCUGAUGAAUGUUUGAACUUAACUAUUUUUGAUCCAUUAACUCUAGAAACCACCAUCCCAAACUCCAUGGUUUGGAUCUAAUAACAACUUUGGGUUUCAUACAUGGCUUUACAUACACAGACACACACAGACACACACACACACACACACACACACACACACACACAGAGUCUUAAGACUCUGACCUGGAGACAUCGGAAGUAAAAGCCCAGAUUUAAGUCAUUUUUGGUGGUUGGUAAAUCCUCAGGUGUAGAAGCUCAUUACAAGGCUCUGUGUGUGUGUGUGUGUGUGUGUGUGUGUGUAAUCAUUGAUUAGAGAGAAGGUAUCUCUGACUUAACAAAUUAAAUAUGACAAUUAGGCUAUGAAGAGCAUCAACUCACUUGAGGCAAACUGUAGUGUUCUGGGAAUUAAAAAAAGGGAAAACUUACAAGAGAUUAAUCAUCAGCAUUUAUGUAUCAUCCAUCAUAAGCUAAACAAAGAAUUUUGGUUGUAUAAAUCAAUGGGACUUGGCUGAAUUCCUGGCCUAAUUAAUAAGCCAUCCACAUAAGCAGCUUAAAUAUAUUGCAAAUAAAUUACAAUAUAUUAUUUUCUCAUAUUUUUCUAGAUGUGCCAAAGCAAAUGUCCUUCAUAUCAAUUCUUUCAUUUAAAGAUCUGACACUGAGUUUCUCUCUCUUUUUGUUAUUGUAGUGUCCCCCUGAACAGUAGCCAUUGUUUCUGGACCUCCAUUUUUAAACCUUUUCUUUCUCUUCCUGAAGAUAAAGAGCAAUGCUAAUAGUUCUGGCGGAGUUAGAGAGAUGUGGCAGAAAGACAAGUCAGAGAUAUUUUAUUGCCAGAGGUAUUCAACCCGCCAUUGCUGGAGGGAGCUCAUGAAAAGCAUGAGAAGAAUGUGCACAGCCUCUAGGAGCAAAGACCAGCCCCCUGCUGACAGCCAGCAAGGAAAUAGGGACCUUAAUGCUACAAACACAAGAAACUGAACUUAGCCAGCAACCUGACUGAGCUGGGAGGCAUAUUCUUCCCUAGAGUGUCCAGUAAGGAGCGCAGCCUCAUCGGGCAUCCUGUGAGACUCUAAGCAGGGUCUGACCGACUCCUCAACUAUAGAACUGUGAGAUAAUCAAUUUGUAUUGUUUUACACCUCUAAGAAGCAAUUAUAAACUAUUAUAAUACAUGGGAGAAAGUUCGCUUUGCUGAUUAGGGAAUACAUGUACUGAUGAAAGCAAAAUACGUUUGUUUGAAAUAAAAAUCGUGCUAAAUGGG